CUACGGGAGGCAGCAGUGGGGAAUAUUGGACAAUGGGGGAAACCCUGAUCCAGCAAUGCCGCGUGUGUGAAGAAGGCCUGCGGGUUGUAAAGCACUUUCGGUUGGGAGGACUGCUUCUAGCACUAAUAUUGUUGGAAGUUGACGUUACCUUCAGAAGAAGCACCGGCUAACUCCGUGCCAGCAGGCCGCGGUAAUACGGAGGGUGCAAGCGUUAAUCGGAAUUACUGGGCGUAAAGCGCGCGUAGGCGGCUAGAUCAGUCGGGUGUGAAAGCCCCGGUCUUAACCUGGGAACUGCAUCCGAUACUGUCUAGCUUGAGUACAGGAGAGGAGAGUGGAAUUCCACAUGUAGCGGUGAAAUGCGUAGAUAUGUGGAGGAACACCAAUGGCGAAGGCAGCUCUCUGGCCUGAUACUGACGCUGAGGUGCGAAAGCGUGGGGAGCAAACAGGAUUAGAUACCCGGGUAGUC
rnacentral:rRNA from 1 species